rnacentral:tRNA from 2 species
AGGCACGUAGCUCAGCCCGGUAGAGCACUACCUUGACACGGUAGGGGUCUGCGGUUCAAAUCCGCACGUGCCUA